UUUUUUUUUUUUUUUUAGUUUUUUACCAGACAAAGCUUUAAGAAUUCUUUCUCAAAAGAUACAAGGCUGUUUCAUAGACUCGCCGACUUGGGGUAAGAUGUCACCAGACCUCAAGAGACAGAUCUAUUUAACCUUUAAGAGAAAGUGUUUCUGGCUCCCGGAACACGAAGCUCAUGUCGCCCAAAACUUCGAGAAGAAAGCCGAGAAACUGCUAAAGGGUGCAUUAGGAAGGGUUCGUGAAGAGCAAGCAAAGCCUGAUUGGAUCCGUCUUGAGGCCUAUAACAAGCUAUUGGAAUACUGGGCAUCGGAUGAAUUUAAGAAAAAAAAGUGAAAUAGGGUAGAAGGCCAGAAGUUCUACGAAGGGUGGCUCUCUACACACUAGUAGGGCUAAGAGCCAAGCGGCCAUGAGGAAGGAGCCGGAACUCAAAGAAAAGAGAAUAUUGCCUCAAAAUGAGGCAUUCAGAAUCACUCACGUGAAGAAGAAGAAAAAUAGUGAAGAACCAAAUGAAUGGGUUGAGGAACGGGCCAGGCAGUCCUACGUAAGUUUAAUUUAAUGUUUUUUCUAAAACAGAAGCUUCUACGUUUCAUGUGGUUUUAUCAAGCCAGGAUUUUAUCCUCUGGAUAGUAAUAUAUCAAGUGAAUUUUGGUGCUCUCAGUCAGAUUCACAUAUCCUAAAAUAUGAUAUCUUUCAAUGGAGUUUCCAAGUUUUUCCUGCUUUCAAUCAGAUUCACAUAUCUGUCUAGGCACACUAUUAGCUAAU